CUCUGCUACUAAGUGACUUCGGUUGUCGAGCAGCCUGGCGAAUCUUUGGCACUAAUUGAAAAUCUGGACAUUUUUUCUUCAAGGGCUUGCAAGGAAGGAUUUGGCGGAUCGCACUGUGGAAUCUAUUACAGUCAUCAUGGAUAAUGAAGUGAUUGUGCUGUCAGUGGCAUUUUUUGGCUGUUGGUGAUCUAAAUGAUUCCGAAUUGGACGAAUAAAAUGUUACACUUAUUGAUAUUUUUUUUUGUUACACAAUGGAGACCACACGUUGAUUGUCGCUUAACUGAUCGGUUAACCGAUAAUGAAUACAUCUUGGUUUAACAGUUCCUAAUUCAUCAAACAAUAUCUGCCUGUAGCUCUUCAUACUCUUAACGUUCUCAUCAAAUAAGUAUUUCACAAAAAUGAUGUUUUAUCAACACCGCAAGGAGACAUCAAUCCAUCGUGAAACACCGAAGAUGACAAAAUAAAAUCAUUUCAGACUACCGAUGUUCAUAUGGAGGUCGAGCGAAUCGAUCCAUUUGUUCGCUCGAAUUACACCGUCGGUGGAGAAUGUUACCAGCCAAAGUUUGAGAUUCCGAAUGUUUACUGGGUACAUCCGUUCGAGGUUAACUACGAGCGAGUUGGUUAUACUCUGCUCUACUCUACGAUGCAGGCUUCAGUACGCCCGUUAACUCACACACAGAACGAAAGUUUCAUAUCAAGUUUCUAUCCGUAAAACGUACUUACUUUUUUAAUGAUGGUCGACGUGUUCCUGGUCUUGUUAUUUUUUUACAGAAGGAAGGUGCUGUGACCACUAAGUCUGGCUAGACCAAUGCCAUUUGCUUCUACCAAAUCCGUUCCGGAAAACUUGUCUUUGAAUCGAAGGUUGAGCUAAAAUCAGUGUACUCAUUACGUGUGAUGAUUGAAAAUAUUGAACUUACCAUGCUUUUCUAAGACCCGACGUUGAAAACCACAAAAUUUAAGCUGCAGCUCGACUGAAAAUCUUUGGUCCCGAAAUUUGCAGAACAUACGCACCAGUUCUUUACACUAUUGUACUCCAGCGCGCAAAAAAUAUACCAGUUUUUUUAAUAGACA